rnacentral:lncRNA from 1 species
UAAUACUAAGUGUCAAUUUGAUUGGAUUGAGGGACACCAUGUAUUAAUCCCGGAUGUGUCUUUGUGGGUAUAGCCAAAAGAGAUUAACAUUUGAGUCAAGGGAAGGCAAAUUCACCCUUAAUCUGGUGGGCACAAUCUAAUCAGCUUCCAGCAAAUAUAAAGCAGGCAGAAAAACGUGAAAAAAGGAAGAUGGGCCUAGCCUCUCAGCCCACAUCUUUCUCCUAUGCUGGAUGCUUCCUUCCCUUGAACAUCAGACUCUGGGUUCUUCAGUUUGGGAACUCAGACUGGCUCUCAGCUUGCAGACAGCCUAUUGUGGAACCUUGUGAUCAUAUGGGUAUUCAGGAACAAAGGGAAGGCCCUGACUGAACCCUGGGAGCAUCUUUGGGCUUCUGCUUUGUGAGAAUCCAUGAGGAAAGGAGAAAAAGGAAAUCACAGCCCUCAACCUCCCUUUCUUAGGAGAAAGAAGAGAAUGAAUGAGGAAGCUGAAGAGCAGGAGGAAUAGGAGAAGGAUUCUUGUCCAUACUGAAGAAAAAGGACAACGUUCAAGAUGCCCAAAGAGAAGCAGGAUCUAUUUGGAGGUACUAAGAAAAAUAAGACAUCAGUCUGAAAAUAGCUCCUAUCAAAACAACAUAAAUUCUGCUAAAAGGGAAGCAAGAAGAAACAUCAAAUUUAUAGUGAAGCUUGGGUGGUAGAAUGAUGAAAUCAUUGAUGCUCUAUGAAAAGUUUAUAGGGACAAUGGCCCCAAAGAAAUCAGCAAUUUACAAAUGGAUAACUCUUUUUAAGAAGGGACUAGAUAAAUGUUGAAAACAAAGCCUGAAGCAGCAGACCAUCCAUGUUAAUUUGCAAGGAAAAAAUUAAUCUUGUUCAUUCCCUAAAUAAAGAGGACUGAUAAUUGACAGCAAAAACAAUAGCCAACACCAUAGCCAACUCAAUGGUUCAACUUACACAAUUCUGACUGAAAAGUUAAAGUUGAGCAUUUCCACUCAAUAGGCACAAAAACUUACGUGUCCAGAUCAGCUGCAGACAAGAGCAGAGCUUUCAGUGGAAAUCUCAAACAAGUAGGAAUGAGAUCCUAAAGCAUUUCUUCGAAAAGUUGCAACAGAAGGUGAAACAUGGCUUUACCAGUACCAUCCUGAAGACAAAGCACAAUCAAAGCAAUGGCUACCAAGAGGGGCAAGUGGUCCAGUCAAAGUAAAAGCAGACUGGUCAAGAGCAAAGGUCAUGGCAACAGUUUUUUGGAAUGCUCAAGGCGUUUUUCUUGUUGACUUUCUGGAAGGCCAAAGAAUGACGACAUCUGCUUAUUAUGAGAGUGUUUUGAGAAAGUUAGCCAAUGCUUUAGCAGAAAAAUGCCCAGGAAAGAUUCACUAGAGAGCCCUUCCCCACCAUGACAAUGCUCCUGCUCAUUUCUCUCAUCAAACAAAGGCAAUCUUAAGUUCCUAUGGGAAAUCAUUAGGCAUCCACCUUACCAUCCUGCUUUGGCUCCUUCUGACUUGCUUUUGUUUCCUAAUCUUAAAAGAUAUAUAAAGGGCACUCAUUUUUCUUCAAUUAAUAAUGUGAAAAAGAUUACAUCAGCAUGGUUAAAUUCUCUGGACCCUCAGUUCUUUAAGGAUAGACAAAAUGACUGGU